ACGGGUGAGUAAUACAUCGGAACGUGUCCUGUAGUGGGGGAUAGCCCGGCGAAAGCCGGAUUAAUACCGCAUACGCUCUGCGGAGGAAAGCGGGGGAUCCUUCGGGACCUCGCGCUACAGGGGCGGCCGAUGGCAGAUUAGCUAGUUGGUGGGGUAAAGGCCUACCAAGGCGACGAUCUGUAGCUGGUCUGAGAGGACGACCAGCCACACUGGGACUGAGACACGGCCCAGACUCCUACGGGAGGCAGCAGUGGGGAAUUUUGGACAAUGGGCGCAAGCCUGAUCCAGCAAUGCCGCGUGUGUGAAGAAGGCCUUCGGGUUGUAAAGCACUUUUGUCCGGAAAGAAAACCUCGUGGUUAACACCCGUGGGGGAUGACGGUACCGGAAGAAUAAGCACCGGCUAACUACGUGCCAGCAGCCGCGGUAAUACGUAGGGUGCAAGCGUUAAUCGGAAUUACUGGGCGUAAAGCGUGCGCAGGCGGUUCGCUAAGACAGAUGUGAAAUCCCCGGGCUUAACCUGGGAACUGCAUUUGUGACUGGCGGGCUAGAGUAUGGCAGAGGGGGGUAGAAUUCCACGUGUA
rnacentral:rRNA from 1 species